GGCUUUGUGGUCUAGUGGUAUGAUUCCCCCUUCGGGUGGGGGAGGCCCCGAUUUCGAUUAUCGGCAAAGCCC